GAUGAACGCUGGCGGCGUGCUUAACACAUGCAAGUCGAGCGAAGCACUUAAGUUUGAUUCUUCGGAUGAAGACUUUUGUGACUGAGCGGCGGACGGGUGAGUAACGCGUGGGUAACCUGCCUCAUACAGGGGGAUAACAGUUAGAAAUGACUGCUAAUACCGCAUAAGACCACGGUACCGCAUGGUACAGUGGUAAAAACUCCGGUGGUAUGAGAUGGACCCGCGUCUGAUUAGGUAGUUGGUGGGGUAACGGCCUACCAAGCCGACGAUCAGUAGCCGACCUGAGAGGGUGACCGGCCACAUUGGGACUGAGACACGGCCCAGACUCCUACGGGAGGCAGCAGUGGGGAAUAUUGCACAAUGGAGGAAACUCUGAUGCAGCGACGCCGCGUGAAGGAUGAAGUAUUUCGGUAUGUAAACUUCUAUCAGCAGGGAAGAAA
rnacentral:rRNA from 1 species